GCAGUUGGAGAUAAAACAGUAACACUCUUUAAUCUAAUUCACAUCACAGACAGCAGUUGUAGUCAAAUAAACAAAUGGUUUCAUUCAGCUCAUCUUAACACAGUCUGUCAACAACAAAUCCAAAUGUCCGUCUUCGAACGAGUCAGUUCACCAUAAAUUUGAACAGAUAACACACAAUUGUUUCCCGUCUAUCAUUAGAUUAUGGAGAAUGAAAAUCUUUGACAGAAAGUAAGAGAAGUUUAUGUAUUUAGAGGAAAACUGAUGUGCAAUAUAAAAGAUAAAAGUUUGGUGAUGAUGAGCAGAUGUGUCAAAGGUUGAAAGAGAAAUUUUAUUCUUUACAGAUUAAAAUGUGUUUUCUCUCUGCAGAUAUAAAAUAUAUUGAUGGAGACAAAGUCGUAUUUUUUGAUGAGGUUCACUGACACGAUUAAAUCUGCCUCAGUGGUCAGUUAUCAUGUCGUCUUAAUCAAUGCACAGUCUAAAAAUAUGGAUGUUAAAUGAAGUCUAUAAACUGAGAAGUUACUACUCUGGUUACUCAAGUAAAGCAGAAAGUAAAAUACUUCAUUGAAGGUAAAAGUUCAGAAUAUAACUUCAGUAAAAGAAAGAAGUUAUCAGCUAAAUGUGCUUAAAUUAAUGUGAUGAACUGAUGUGAAAUUCAUGUGAUGUUUGUCUGGGUCCUGCAGCGGAUCUGAAUUAAUGAUCAUGAGGUACCACAGAACUGUUCUGGAGUCAGCAUCCCUGCCUCCACCACGAUGACAGGCAGUGUUUUAGAUCUGACCUCAGAUCAGAUUCUGCUGAUGAUUUCUGACUCAUUCAAAAUCCUGAUCGGCCAUCUCGGUUCUGAUCGGAACGGUUCGGCUUGGCUCGGAUCACUGAGCCCUUGAGGGGAUCAGCAGGCUGAUUAUGAGAUGCGGGAGGCCGCAGAGUGACGCAGCAGCAGCCGGGGUUAACCCCUCACAGGCCGGCUGCUGCACCGCGCGACGCCCCGGUCACCUUCAGCACAUCCUGCCGAGCAGAACCGAGGGGGGCCGAACGGGCCUGGUUCUGUCGUUUCACACCAACACAUUCAAGGCUGGUCGCUGAUCAGCAGGAUGACGCUGCAGACGCAACCAGUCCGGAUUAAAUAAGGAAAAUAUCCAAAUAAAACCGAGCAUGCGCAGUCUGUCUUCACACUACAGACGCUGCGGAGUGAGCAGAUAAAACCCGCCAGUCGUCUGAUGGACGUCACUGAUCAAUAAUACAUAAUGACGUUUAUUAGAAUAUCUCUUCUUGUGUCUCGCGCUCCUCCCGCGGAGUCCUCGCGCAGAUCGAGGUUUUUCCGCCUCACUGGAUUAAAGAAGAUUAAUUCAUUUAGAGGUUUUUGUUCAAUCAUCCAAUCAGGGCGCGCGCCUGUCCGCUCGCGCUGAGCUGAUGACCGGAUGUGUUGAUGGUCUGAGGGUGCUGAUGUGAGUCUGACCCGGAUUAAAGGUGCUCCUACCUGUCAGUGCAGUCGGGAUGUGGUCUGAAGCGGAUCCGGUUCUGCUGCUGCUGCUGCGGAUUAAAGCUGCGGGCAGCGUUUUAUACCCUCCCCCCGCUCCUGAUUGGCUCCUAUUUACAGUCCAUUCAUUCCAUUGGACAAAUGGCCCGAGGAGGGUCACGUGACUAGACUCUGUCUCUUUCUCCCUCUCUACUGUAGAUGGUUCAUCUCUGCCGCAGUGCCUCUGAGCAACACUGUGCUGCAUUCAAGACCACUGGAAAACACAGACUUCUGUUAAUAUGUCAGUUUAGAGUCUGCGGUUAGUUCAGUGUCUGUGGUAACGUUCCCAAUAAAGCAGUUUCUCCUGCACCGUUAAAAUAUUCAUCACCUACAGCUGUGUGUGUGUGUGUGUGUGUGUGUGUGUGUCCUCAGGCUACCCAUGAUGCCUCAGUGCUGAGGUGUCAGCUGAAAACAGAAAAGAUGAAAUGAGAACAUAUUGUUUGUAUUAUUUGUUGACUGGUUUUGUUGUUUCUGUUUGACAUGUUAAUAAAUUAUAAUUAUUACGUACAUGAAGCAGACAGGCUGGACUCUGACUCCGCCCCCUCAUCCUGCUCAUUUCAAUAUUAGCUAAUUCUGAAACAGCUGAUCAGAGGGAGGAGCCUCAGUCUGUGCUCCGACUGGUUCAUGUGUAAUAUUUGAUGUAUUUUAUUGAGAACAACCCUGUUCGUCAUGUGUUGCAGGCUGACGCCAUGAGGUUCCAUACCAGCCGAGGAGCUGAGAUCUGCAGUACUGUUACUACAUGAAUCUGACAGUACUGCAGUACUGAUGGUCUGUGAGUCCAGGUCCAACUGUGUGAAGGACGUUAUGGUAUUUCCUGCUGCUGUCAGACGUCACAUGUUCACUGUUUAAACUAUCUGGACAAUUUAAUGACCAUAUUAAAUAACAACACUGUUUAUACUGACAUGUAUGUUUCUACCAGGCUGCUUCUGUUUCUCACCUUUUGACUCAUUAUUAUUGUUUAUUGUAAUAUUUCUGUCCGUCGGCUGCUGUGGCAAAGACAUUUCUCUUUUUGUGGGACAAUAAAGGAAUUCUGGUUCUGA